rnacentral:rRNA from 1 species
UACGUAGGGACCAAGCGUUGUUCGGAUUUACUGGGCGUAAAGGGCGCGUAGGCGGCCUGAUAAGUAGGGGGUGAAAUCCUGCGGCUUAACCGCAGGGCUGCCUUCUAAACUGUCAGGCUCGAGCACAGUAGAGGCAGGUGGAAUUCCCGGUGUAGCGGUGGAAUGCGUAGAGAUCGGGAAGAACAUCAGUGGCGAAGGCGGCCUGCUGGGCUGUUGCUGACGCUGAGGCGCGACAGCGUGGGGGAGCAAACAGG